AAUGAAGGUAGAGGCGCGAAAAUCAUUAGUAACCAGUUGGAGGAUAAAUGGUAUCCUAUGAAAAUUGGAGAAAGGGAGAUUCGCCGAAGUGAUAAAAGACCAUUUGCUUUUAUCGCUGGUUUUACAUUUAAGAGGUGUAAAAUUGUCAGGGAUUCGUAUUGAUUCUUGGAGAGCUAUCUCAUUG
rnacentral:ncRNA from 1 species